rnacentral:lncRNA from 1 species
UCCUGAAUGAUUCAGUAAGUGGAAUAUUUGUAUUUGUUCAUUGCAUCGAAGUUUCUAACACAUGCAUUCAAUUAUUGAACAGAGAAUAUUUGACAGUUUCUAAAUGGAAUGUUAACUUUAUAGACGCAAAAUGUAAUUAAUCAAAUUAAUGUUGACAAUCAUGUGACAUGUAUUGUUCAAUGUAUGCUUUAGUAUGCUUAAUUUCUUGCUUAUCAUAUCAGAAUAUAUCAGUACAGUAAGAUUCGAAAUGACUAAAAUUAUUUUGUAAAAUUCUUCCUAUCGAAAACAUUGUUUUGUUAUUCAUUCAUAUCAUUGUUUCUUUUUCUCUCUUUUUUCUUUUUUAAUAUUAUUC